rnacentral:rRNA from 1 species
UAUUGGACAAUGGGCGCAAGCCUGAUCCAGCCAUGCCGCGUGGGUGAAGAAGGCCUUCGGGUUGUAAAGCCCUUUUGUCCGGAAAGAAAAGCUCCAGGUUAAUACCUUGGGGUCCUGACGGUACCGGAAGAAUAAGCACCGGCUAACUUCGUGCCAGCAGUCGCGGUAAUACGAAGGGUGCAAGCGUUACUCGGAAUUACUGGGCGUAAAGCGUGCGUAGGUGGUUCGUUAAGUCUGAUGUGAAAGCCCUGGGCUCAACCUGGGAAUUGCAUUGGAUACUGGCGGGCUAGAGUGCGGUAGAGGAUGGCGGAAUUCCCGGUGUAGCAGUGAAAUGCGUAGAGAUCGGGAGGAACAUCUGUGGCGAAGGCGGCCAUCUGGACCAGCACUGACACUGAGGCACGAAAGCGUGGGGAGCAAACA